GCCGGGCGUGGUGGCUUACGCCUGUAAUCCCAGCACUUUGGGAGGCCGAGGUGGGCGGAUCACCUGAGGUCAGGAGUUCAAGACCAGCCUGGCCAACAUGGUGAAACCCCGUCUCUA
ensembl:misc_RNA Metazoa_SRP Metazoan signal recognition particle RNA